rnacentral:tRNA from 1 species
GGGGGUGUAGCUCAGUGGUAGAGCACUCGCCUAGCAUGAGGCAGGCCCUGGAUUCGAUCUCCAGCACCACCA